rnacentral:rRNA from 1 species
GACGUAGGGGCGCGAGCGUUGUCCGGAUUUAUUGGGCGUAAAGAGCUCGUAGGCGGUCUGUCGCGUCGGCUGUGAAAACCCGGGGCUCAACCCCGGGCCUGCAGUCGAUACGGGCAGACUAGAGUGCGGUAGGGGAGACUGGAAUUCCUGGUGUAGCGGUGAAAUGCGCAGAUAUCAGGAGGAACACCGGUGGCGAAGGCGGGUCUCUGGGCCGUAACUGACGCUGGAGGAGCGAAAGCGUGGGGAGCGAACAGG